AAUGCGUGGACAACUUACCUCUGAGACCGGGAUAACGGCGGGAAACUGCCGCUAAUACCGGAUGGCCUCGGAGCCCGGCAUCGGGUUCCGAGUAAACGGUGGGGACCGAAAGGCCUGCUGCUCGGAGAGAGGUUCACGUCCUAUCAGCUAGUUGGCGGGGUUACGGCCCACCAAGGCGAUGACGGGUAGGCGAGCUGAGAGGCUGACCGCCCACAUUGGGACUGAGAACUGCCCAGACUCCUACGGGAGGCUGCAGUCGAGAAUCUUCCGCAAUGGACGCAAGUCUGACGGAGCGACGCCGCGUGCGGGAUGAAGGUCUUCGGAUUGUAAACCGCUGUCACGCGUUACGAACGCGCCGGGGCCAACACCCCCGGCGUUGACUAAGGCGCGGGAGGAAGACACGGCUAACUCUGUGCCAGCAGCCGCGGUAAUACAGAGGUGUCAAGCGUUGCUCGGUAUCACUGGGCUUAAAGGGCGCGUAGGCUGUGCGGUACGGUUCGGGUGAAAUCCCUCGGCUCAACCGAGGAACUGCCCGGGCGACGGCCGCGCUGGACUGCAUCAGGGGACGAUGGAACUCCCGGUGGAGCGGUGAAAUGCGUAGAUAUCGGGAGG
rnacentral:rRNA from 1 species